UAAAGAUCCGUCGGAUGAGGAUAGGCUCGCGUGACAUUAGCUAGACGGCGGGGUAACGGCCCACCGUGGCGACGAUGUCUAGGGGUUCUGAGAGGAAGGUCCCCCACACUGGAACUGAGACACGGUCCAGACUCCUACGGGAGGCAGCAGUGAGGAAUAUUGGUCAAUGGCCGGAAGGCUGAACCAGCCAUGCCGCGUGAAGGUCAGUGCCCUAUGGGCGUUAAACUUCUUUUGUGCGGGAGCAAUAAGGGCCACGCGUGGCCUGACGAGAGUACCGUACGAAUAAGCAUCGGCUAACUCCGUGCCAGCAGCCGCGGUAAUACGGGGGAUGCAAGCGUUAUCCGGAUUUAUUGGGUUUAAAGGGUGCGUAGGCUGUGAGGUAAGUCAGCGGUGAAAUGCCCCCGCUCAACGGGGUGAAGUGCCAUUGAUACUGCCUUGCUGGAAUGCGGAUGCCGUGGGAGGAAUGUGUGGUGUAGCGGUGAAAUGCAUAGAUAUCACACAGAACACCGAUUGCGAAGGCAUCUCACGAAUCCGCGAUUGACGCUGAUGCACGAAAGCGUGGGUAUCAAACAGGAUUAGAUACCCUGGUAGUCCACGCUGUAAACGAUGAUGACUAACCGUCGGCGAUACACAGUCG
rnacentral:rRNA from 1 species